rnacentral:rRNA from 1 species
UUGCUGCAGUUAAAAAGCUCGUAGUUGAAUUUCUGUUUGUUAGAGUCGAGUCUUCCAAGACGAGAUCUCUUCGGACAUCUGUUUGCAAUCAUAUGUUCGGUCUUCAUUGAUUGACUAUGUGAGCAAACGUUUUACCUUGAGAAAAUUAGAGUGUUCCAGGCAGGCUUCAGCCGGAAUACAUUAGCAUGGAAUAAUGGAAUAGGACUGGGGACUAUUUUUGGUUUGAGGCUCCAGUAAUGAUUAAUAGGAACAGUCGGGGGCAUUAGUACUUGACAGUCAGAGGUGAAAUUCUUGGAUUUGUCAAAGACUAACUAAUGCGAAAGCAUUUGCCAAGCAUGUUUUCAUUAAUCAAGAACGAAAGUUAGGGGAUCAAAGACGAUUAGAUACCGUCCUAGUCAUAACUGUAAACGAUUCCAUCUUGGAAUUGGGCGGAUAUAUUAUGAUUCGUCCAGCGCCAUAAGAGAAAUCAAAGUCUUUGGGUUCUUGGUGGAGUACGAUCGCAAGAUUGAAACUUAAAGGAAUUGACGGUUUUGCACACCAUGGAGUGGAGCCUGUGGCUUAAUUUGACUCAACACUGGGAAACUCAUCAGGACAAAAAAGUUUUAGGAUUGACAGAUUGAUAGCUCUUUC